rnacentral:lncRNA from 10 species
CCAGGGUGGAGUGCAGUAGUGUAAUCAUAGCUCACUACAGCCUCGCUAACUCCUGGGCUCAAGCGAUCCUCCCACCUAAAGUUCCCGAGUAGCUGGGACUACAGGUGUGAGCCACCACGCCCAGACAAUAAGAACUUUUUGAAGAGUCCAAACUUUAGGGUCCCCACCUUGUUACUUGCAAUGAAACGGACACAGUGGAAGACAGCUUGGAGUAGGAAAAGGACUGAAGACUGCAGCAGCCAGGUGAACUUCUAUUCGUCCAUCAAGACCCAACCCAAAGUAAGGAAACCAAGACUUCGAGAGUCAAUAACUCAAGAUACCUUAGCUAGUGAAGUUAAGAGCUGGAUUCCACUCCAAAUGAGUCUCAACCCAAAGCUUUCACUCAUCCUACUAAACUAAGCCAAAAACCCACUUGAAGCCAGGCGGGAGGGCUCACGCCUGUAAUCCCAGCACUUUGGGAGGCCGAGGCUGGCGGAUCACCUGAGGUCGGGAGUUCAAGACCAGCCUGGCCACUAUGGUGAAACUCCGUUUCUACUAAAAAUAAAAAAAAUAGCCGGGCAUCAUGGUGGGUGCCUGUAGUCCCAGCUACUCGAGAGGCUGAGGCAGGAUAAUCGUUUGAACCCGGGAGGCGGAAGUUGCAGUGAGCUGAGAUUGCACCAUUGCACUCCAGCCUGGGCGACAAAGCGAGACUCCGUCUCAAACAACAACAACAACAAACUACACUCUAGUCUGGGCGACAGAGCAAGACCCUGUCUUAAAAACAAACAAACAAACAAGGAAACCCCAUUUGUAACUGCCACUAAUUGGACUAUACUUCUGGUGGGCCAUCUUCAAGCUUCGGGCUUGAAUAAACCCUAU